rnacentral:rRNA from 1 species
AUUGAACGCUGGCGGCAGGCCUAACACAUGCAAGUCGAACGCGAGGCGGGCGGGUGUGAAAUAUCUGGGAAACUGCCCGCUGGAGGGGGAUAACUCCUGGAGAAGGUGGCUAAUACCCCAUACCCUCGGGUAGCCCCCGAUGGGAUUAGCUCGUGGGUGUGGUAACGGCUCACCUAGGCGACGAUCCCUAGCUGGUCUGAGAGGAGGACCAGCCACACUGGUACUGAGACACGGCCCAGACUCCUACGGGAGGCAGCAGUGGGGAAUAUUGCACAAUGGGCGAAAGCCUGAUGCAGCCAUGCCGCGUGUAUGAAGAAGGCCUUCGGGUUGUAAAGUACUUUUAGCGAGGAGGCGGUACCCGCAGAAGAAGCACCGGCUAACUCCGUGCCAGCCGCCGCGGUAAUUC